AGUAGUAAUAAGAGCAGAUUUAAUGGCUGAGGGAGACCAAUGAGGGUGAAAAGUCUUAACGUAUGCAGCUACACCAGCAACAUGAGGACAAGACAUUGAAGUUCCUGAUAUUAUGUUGUAUUUAACUCGCCUUGUAUCUAUUGUAGUCGUCGAUGGUGAAGCAACUGGUGAAUAUGCAGCCAAUAUAUCCACUCCUGGUGCACUUAUAUCUGGCUGCAACACAUUUAUGGAACCAUUUAGUAUACAAAACACAGGCAAAACAACGAUAAAAUCUGGGUUAUCGGACCAAUGCAUGCCUUUAGAAUGUCUGGUACAAUGGAAUUCGGACCCCUUGAAGAGAAUGAAGCAACUAUAGGAGCAAAUUUAUCUUUAGUUGUUUCACUUCUUAAUAUUUCUGCUUUAGGUUCUCUGUGACAUAAUGAGCAAAGCGUUAGUUUUAUUUUGCCUAACAUAAACAAAACCGAUGAAAUAAUGACCCGAACCAUCGAUAUGUACAUACUUGGUGGAAUUGAGGUAGGAUAUGACCGAAUCAUAGUCCUCAGAGCUUAAAGUUAUAGCAGACAAUGGGACAACAAAUGAAACAUCGUCCAAUUCAUAUUUCGUAUUAAUCCUAAUGCACCAGCAUCGUAAGCUGCAUCUACACCGUCCAUCUCAUAGCAUAAGAGGAUCUUGUUCUUAAACAAUGUAUCAAACAUAUUGCUUAUGUCUAAAUCUCUGUAAAUCAAUGAAAAUGCAGGCUUGUCAUGGAACUAACCUAGCACUGGCCUCAUCGCAAUAGGAUGUUGCUUGCAGCCCAUAAACCAAUGGAACCUUUGUUGUAUUAGACUAAAUGAGUUAAUGGAUAAUCCCUGCUUGCAAAGAGGAAACCAUUAGUAUCAAGUUAAAAGAAAAAAACUACGAGUAUCGGAGCAACAUAAGUAGAAAAUACGAUAGUUCUUACAGUUAGUGUCUUCCCAUUCCCAAGAAUAACCUUCCACAAAAAGGUGAUCAGUUGUGCUUGCAGCAAACGUAAGUAUCCACGGUGCUGUACUCUCCAAUGCUUGCAACCCUGCUGUACCACUAUUGUCUGCUGAUUGCAUAACUAGUACUCCUUUCUCAGCUGCAUGGAAUGCACCAAUGGCUAUAGCAUCAUCGUAAAACUCAGAGUUGAUCUUAUAACAGUUUCAUGGCAGCUUUUGAUGAUGCCAUUGCUGAUGGAACCCCUCUCUUGCAGUUCCUUCAGCAAAUCCAUAGAAACUAGCAUUCACUACGUUGUUCCCAGCUGCUGUGGAUGCUGUAUGUGACCCAUGACCCUCUGUAUCAUUGGCAGAAUCUGCGGUGUAAACUCGAGCUCUGAUAAGCUUACUGAAAGAUAAGCACCAAAUCAUUAUGAGGAUCAGGGAUAUGAAUAGUGGUCUGAGAUUGGAAAUAGUGGAAUAUGUUUACUUGUUACAAGUGAAGUUUUGGCCAACCUUACAAGCUCCCUUCCACUUUUGGGGUGGUGGACCAAAGCCUUCGUCGCUGAAGCUGUCCGACUCGGGACAGAUUCCGGUAUCAAUGACACCAACAAUGACAUUGCUCUCGGCGGCAGCGUUACGGUUUACAGUUUGAUUGUGUCCCAAGAAAUCCCAUGAUCUUGUUGUAUGAAGGUGAAAAACUUUACUUGGAAAAACCGAAACCACUCCUUUAAAGCCUGCAUAUAACGGCAUUGGUGAAAACAUAUCAUUAAGGCAAUGCCAUUGUGUUAAAAAGAAAAGACAGCUCUUCUUCUACCACUUACUUGAAAGUUUCUUUGCCUCUUCAUUAGUUAGCUUAGCUGCAAAUCCAUUGAAGCUCCUUUUGUAACUUCGGAUUAAGUAAUUUUCCACAGAGCUGCAGAGAAGAAAAAAUAAGGAUCGAUCAUCAUACUGAUGGACCAACACUUUGGCUUAGGCAUCAAAGGACAUCCUCUAAAAAAAUGGCUUCCUACCUGUGUUUAGAAAGUGCUUGAAGCAUAUUGGAAUGGUGAGAUGAAGCAAUGUAGUCUCCAUCAGGAAGUGGUCCCAAGUAUGCAAUGUAAACCUGCAUCAUAUAUGAUGAUGGUCAUCAUCGCACAUUAUUAUAAUUCAUGAACCAGUUCCAUAUAAACAUUGUUAAAAAUAGUUUUCUAUCUUCAUGUAUAGCACCAGAGCGAAGGAUUACACAAACUGUGAUAAUAAUAAAAAUGUCAAGAAACACCAAGAAACUUGAUUUUGUCAUUUUUUUUCUAUUUGUUUGAUAGUAUGCAUAAAAUAGAAAUUAUAACUGGUAUUUAUAGUGAAUUGGAACAUAUCUGGCAAUUUUACUCAUACCAUAUAUGAUUGUGAUUUAUGACAAUUUCAAGAUAUAUUGUUCACUAUCUAAUAACACCAUUCUCUCUGCUGUAUUUGUUGUAUUUUUUUGCAGCUGAACUGAUUAUGUUUGUAACUUAAACGACAAAGGAAUCAAUUUAUAACUUCAUUUUUCUUCUGAUUUACUCCACUUAAAAAUAUGGGGUGUUGCAAAAAUCAUUUAUUGGGAAAGUUUGUUCAUAGAAAAAUGUAACUAAUAUUUUAUUAAUAGAUUGCAAGAAAUUGACUGAACAAAUAAAAACAGAAUGCAGACUCAAUCGUGUGACUCAAACAGCCCCACGGACACCUUCAUAUGUGUGAAUAACGAUCGAACUUCUAACAUUAUGAGUACCAUCUGACCAUAUCAAUGUUGCAGAUACCAUUGAUGUCUCACCCAAAGCUUUGCCAGAAACAAUAACAUUGUAAGACUUCUGUUCUGUUAGAGCCUUGAAAGACAAGACUUGAGGAACCACUUGGAUUUCGGGUUCUGACAGGAUAGAGAUUGUUGCAUUGUAAGUAGAUCUUGCUAUACCAACAUUUGUUACUGUUCUAUGGAAAUUAACAGUGAAUGGCUUGCCUGCUGGUACUAAAGCAGUGAGUGUAGGAUAAUUGAAAUCUCUUGGCAGCAUUUUAGUACUGUUUUUAGGACAAGAGGUGUUGUUUCCUGCUAUAUUUUUUAUGGAACCUUCAUCAUAUCCGAUGCUGCAUAAGAAUCUUAUGUUGUCACCUUUUACGUUAUCGUAUACAAGUCCAGGAUCAAUGGCUUUUACAGGGUUGAUAUGUCCUGAUCCAUAAGCAAAUUCAGCUCCUUGAUUCCUCGGUGCAUCCAUCGGAAAAGCUAGGCAAAAGAAAACAAAUGUAAGAUCGAAAAUGUGACAUAUGUUACAAUAAUGGCAAUGAAUGAUUACCGGUAGUCAUAAGAGCAGAUUUAAUGGCUGAGGGAGACCAAUGAGGGUGAAAAGUCUUAACGUAUGCGGCUACACCAGCAACAUGAGGACAAGACAUUGAGGUUCCUGAUAUUAUGUUGUAUUUAACUCGCCUUGUAUCUGUUGUGGUUAUCGAUGGUGAAGCUACCGGUGAAUAUGCAGCCAAUAUAUCCACUCCUGGUGCACUUAUAUCGGGCUGCAAUGCAUUUCCAGAACUAUUUAGUUUACCGUAAAAAAGCAAAAUAACAAUAAAAUCCGAGUUCUGGGAGAAAUGCAUGCCUUUAGAAUGUCUGGUACAAUGAAAUUAGGACCCUUUGAAGAGAAUGAAGCAACUAUAGGAGCAGAUUUAUCUGUAAUUGUCUCACUUAUUAAUAUUUCUGCUUUAGGUUGUCUGUGACACAAUGAGCAAAGCAUUAGUUUUAUUUUACCUAUCAUAUGACAAAAUAAUGACCCAAACCAUCGAUAUGUACAUACUUGGUGGAAUUCAGGUAGGAUGUGACCGAAUCAUAGUCCUUGGAGCUUAAAGUUAUAGCAGGCAUUGGGACAACAUAUGCAACAUCGUCGAAUCCAUAUUUCGUAAUUAAUCCCAAUGCACCAGCAUUGUAAGCUUCGUCUACACCCUGCAUGUCAUCGCAUAGAAUGAUCUUGUUCUUUACCAAAGUUUUAUUCAGGCAAUUAGGGAAACACAACCUGAAAAGGACCAACAAUGAAUCACACAUGCGGCUUAUAUCUGAAUCAAUCAAAAUGCAGCUUGUCAAUGGAACUAACCGAGCACUGAACUCAUCGCAAUCGGAUGAUGCUUGCAUCCCAUAAACCAAUGGAACCAUUGCUCUAUUAAGACUAAAAGUGUUUAUUGAAAGCCCCUGUUUGCAAAGAGGAACCUAUUACUAUCAAGUAAAUAAACUACGAGAGUCAGAGCAAUUCAAGAGCGAUAUAGUUCUUACAGUUAGUGUCUUCCCAUUCCCAAGAACAACCUUGUUGACAAAAUGGCGGUCCAUUGUGCUUGCGGCAACGCUAAGUAUCCAUGGUGCUACACUUGCCACCGAUUGAAACCCUGCUAGACCACUAUUUCCUGCAGAUUGUACAACAAGUACACCUUUCUCGGCAGCAUGGAAAGCACCAAUAGCUACAGCGUCACUGUAGAAUUCAAACACAAAGAAUGAUCCUAAUGAAGCUGUUAUAAGAUCAACUCCAUCAGCAAUGGCAUCGUCAAAAGCUGCCAAGAUGUCUUCUGAAGUACAUAUACCAUUGCAUACUUUAUAUGCGGCAAUCCUUGCUGAUGGAACCCCUCCUCUUGCAGUUCCUUCAGCAAAUCCAUAGAAACUAGCAUUCACUACGUUGUUCCCGGCUGCUGUGGAUGCUGUAUGCGAUCCAUGACCCUCUUUAUCCCUGGCAGAAUCCGUGAUGUAAACUCGAGCUCCGAUAAGCUUACUGAAAGAUAAGCACCAAGUCAUUAUGAGGAUCAGGGAUAUGAAUAGCGGUCUGAGAUCGGAAAUAGUGGAAUAUUUUUACUUGUUACAAGUGAAGUUUUGGCCACCCUUACAAGCUCCCUUCCACUUUUGGGGUGGUGGACCGAAGCCUUCGUCGCUGAAGCUGUCCGAUUCCGGCCAGAUUCCGGUAUCAAAGACACCGACAAUGACAUCGCUCUCUGUGGCAUUACGUUUAACAGUUUGAUUGAGUCCCAAGAAAUCCCAUGAUCUUGUUGUAUGCAGGUGGUAAACUUUACUUGGAAAAACCGAAACCACUCCUUUAAAGCCUGCAUAUAACGGCAUUGGUGAAAACAUAUCAUUAAGGAAAUGCCAUAGAGCUAAAAAAAAAACAGACAGCUCUUCUUCUACCACUUACUUGAAAGUUUCUUUGCCUCUUCAUUAGUUAGCUUAGCUGCAAAUCCAUUGAAGCUCCUUUUGUAACUUCGGAUUAAGUGAUUUUCCAGAGAGCUGCAGAGAAGAAAAAAAAAGGAUCGAUCAUCAUACUGAUGGGCCCACACUUUGGCUUAGGCAUCAUAGGACAUCCUCUAAAAAAAUGGCUUCCUACCUGUGUUUAGAAAGUGCUGAAAGCAUAUUGCAAUGGUGAGAUGAAGCAAUGUAGUCUCCAUCAGGAAGUGAUCCCAAGUAUGCAAUGUAAACCUGCAUCAUCAUACAUUAUUACAAUUCAUGAACCAGUUCCAGAUAACAUUGUUAACAAUCUGUCACUGAAAAAUACUUGCCUUUCUAUCCUCCUGUACAGCACCAGAGCAAAGGCUUAUACAAACCAUGAGAUUCACAAAAAUGUCGAGAAACACCAAGAAACUUGAUUUUGUCAUUUUUUUUUUUCAAUUUGUUUGGUAGUAUGCAUAAAACAGAAAUCAUAACUUGUAUUUUAUAGUGAACUGGAAAAAUUGAAUCUUAUAUCCAAUUAACUGGAGUAUUUAAAUUUUUUGUCUUUGUAUAGCCACUACAACCAAGGAACGAAUCUGUCAAUUUUUACUCGUACCAUAUAUGAUUGUGAUAUAUGACCAUUUCAAGAUAUAUUGUUCAGUAUCUGAUAACACCAUUCUUUCUGCUGUAUUUAUUGUAUAUUUUUGCAGCUGAACUGAUUAUGUUCAUAAAUUUAAUGACUAAGGAAUCAAUUUAUAACUUCAUUAAAUUGGGUUUUAACCACAUUUUUCUUCUGAUUUACUCCACUGAAAAUCUCGGGUGUUGCAAAAAUCAUGUAUUGGGAAAGUUUGUUCACAGAAAGAUUUAUAUAAUAUUUAUUAAUAAGAUUGAAAGAAAUUGACUGAAAAUAUAUAUAACAUAAACUGAAAACAAAUAAUAACAAUUGCAGCAGGUUCAAUCAUGUGACUCAAACAGCCCCAGAGAUAGCUUCAUAUGUGUGAAUAACAACUGGAUUUCUAACAUCAUGAGUAUCAUCUGACCAUAUCAAUGUUGCAGACGCCAUUGAUCUUCCACCCAAAGCUUUUCCUGAAACAGUAACUUUGUAAGACAUCUUCUCUGUUAGACACUUGAAAGACAAGACUUGAGGAACCACUUUGAUUUCGAGUUCCGACAGGGCAGCGAUUGUUGCAUUGUAAGUAGAUCUUGCUACACCAACAUUUGUUACUGUUCUAUGGAAAGUGACUUUGAAUGGCUUGCCUGCUGGAACUAAAGCAGUGAGUGUAGGAUAAUUGAAAUCUCUUGGCAACAUUUUAGUAGAGUUCUUAGGACAAGAGGUGUUGUUUCCUGCUAUUAUUUUGAUGGAACCUUCAUCAUAUCCAAUACUGCAUAGGAAUCUUAUGUUGUCACCUUCUACGGUGUCGUAUACAAGUCCAGGGUCAAUGGCUUUUACAGGGUUGAUAUGUCCUGAUCCAUAAGCAAAUUCAGCACCUUGAGUCCUCGGUGCAUCCAUCGGAAAAGCUAGGCAAAAUAAAACAAACGUAAGAUCGAAAAUGUGACAUAUGUUACAAUAAUGGCAAUGAAUGAUUACCAGUAGUCAUAAGAGCAGAUUUAACGGCUGAGGGAGACCAAAGAGGGUGAAAUGUCUUAACGUAUGCAGCUACACCAGCAACAUGAGGACAAGACAUUGAGGUUCCUGAUAUUAUGUUGUAUUUAACUCGCCUUGGAUCUGUUGUAGUCGUCGAUGGUGAAGCAACCGGUGAAUAUGCAGCCAAUAUAUCCACUCCUGGUGCACUUAUAUC
rnacentral:lncRNA from 1 species